AUCCAACUCUCAAGCAGUUCAUAAUUUCAUAACUUCUACUCACAAACUCCUUACUACCAGCACAACAUAAAUGGCUCUUCCUCUUCAAGAUAUCUCUAAUCAAAUUCAGUUAUCAUCAAAGGAUAAAGCUGAAAGUGCAACAGGAAAUAAUAAGAAGAAGUAUAAACGUGGUUGUGCUCCAAGAAAACCUAAUCAACAACGACCAAAAAAACAGAGGACGAGUAGGA